rnacentral:rRNA from 1 species
UACGAGUCUGGCAAUUGGAAUGAGAACAAUUUAAAUCCCUUAUCGAGGAUCCAUUGGAGGGCAAGUCUGGUGCCAGCAGCCGCGGUAAUUCCAGCUCCAAUAGCGUAUAUUAAUGUUGUUGCAGUUAAAAAGCUCGUAGUUGGAUUCCUGACCUGGGGUAGCCGGUCCGCCUUGCAAAAGGUGCGCACUGAGCGGCCUCGGUCAUCCUUGAGAAGAGCGGUCCUGGCAUUCAGUUGUCGGGGUCGGGAUUCUCGACGUUUACUGUGAAAAAAUCAGAGUGUUCAACGCAGGCUUACGCCUUGAAUACAUUAGCAUGGAAUAAUGAGAUAGGACCUUGGCGGUCUAUUUUGUUGGUUUGCACGCCGAGGUAAUGAUUAAAAGGGACGGUUGGGGUUCUUCGUAUUCAAUUGUCAGAGGUGAAAUUCUUGGAUUUAUGGAAGACGAACUGCUGCGAAAGCGUCGAACAAGGACGUUCUCAUUAAUCAAGAACGAAAGUUAGGGGAUCGAAGAUGAUUAGAUACCAUCGUAGUCUUAACCAUAAACUAUGCCGAUUCAGGAUU